AUUGAACGCUGGCGGCAGGCCUAACACAUGCAAGUCGAACGAGUGGCGGACGGGUGAGUAAUGUAUGGGAAACUGCCCGAUGGAGGGGGAUAACUACUGGAAACAGUAGCUAAUACCGCAUACCAUCGGAUGUGCCCAGAUGGGAUGAGCUAGUAGGGGGGGUAACGGCGCACGUAGGCGACGAUCCCUAGCUGGUCUGAGAGGAUGACCAGCCAAACUGGAACUGAGACACGGUCCAGACUCCGAGGGGAGGCAGCAGUGGGGAAUAUUGCACAAUGGGCGCAAGCCUGAUGCAGCCAUGCCGCGUGUAUGAAGAAGGCCUUCGGGUUGUAAAGUACUUUCAGCGAGGAGGCGUUACUCGCAGAAGAAGCACCGGCUAACUCCGUGCCAGCAGCCGCGGUAAGUC
rnacentral:rRNA from 1 species